rnacentral:rRNA from 1 species
AGUGGCGGACGGGUGAGUAACGCGUAAGAAUCUAACUUCAGGACGGGGACAACAGUUGGAAACGACUGCUAAUACCCGAUGUGCCGGGAGGUGAAACCUAAUUGGCCUGAAGAAGAGCUUGCGUCUGAUUAGCUAGUUGGUGGGGUAAGAGCCUACCAAGGCGACGAUCAGUAGCUGGUCUGAGAGGAUGAGCAGCCACACUGGGACUGAGACACGGCCCAGACUCCUACGGGAGGCAGCAGUGGGGGAUUUUCCGCAAUGGGCGAAAGCCUGACGGAGCAACGCCGCGUGAGGGAGGAAGGUCUUUGGAUUGUAAACCUCUUUUCUCAAGGAAGAAGUUCUGACGGUACUUGAGGAAUCAGCCUCGGCUAACUCCGUGCCAGCAGCCGCGGUAAUACGGGGGAGGCAAGCGUUAUCCGGAAUUAUUGGGCGUAAAGCGUCCGCAGGUGGUCAGCCAAGUCUGCUGUCAAAUCAGGUUGCUUAACGACCUAAAGGCGGUGGAAACUGGCAGACUAGAGAGCAGUAGGGGUAGCAGGAAUUCCCAGUGUAGCGGUGAAAUGCGUAGAGAUUGGGAAGAACAUCGGUGGCGAAAGCGUGCUACUGGGCUGUAUCUGACACUCAGGGACGAAAGCUAGGGGAGCGAAAGGGAUUAGAUACCCCUGUAGUCCUAGCCGUAAACGAUGGAUACUAGGCGUGGCUU